UUCGGUAUCGUCGAACGGUUAAGACAAGUGGUUUUCAACCUCAAAACCGGGGUUCGACUCCCCGUACCGAAA